GUCUCUGUAGCUCAGUGGUAGAGUGAGAGAUUGCAGAUCUCCAGGUCAGGCGUUCGAUCCGCCUCAGGGACU